AACUGUUUUUGGUUCAUAAGCGUGAUGAUGAUCGGGUGUUCACGAGUCUGUGUGACAUGCUGUCCUCAAACCUUGUUAUGCAGCGGCAUGUUACCCGUCUGACG